rnacentral:sRNA from 1 species
AACAAUUUGUUUAUUCAAUUUAGUAUAAUUUGGUAUUUGUAUGCAUCAUAUAUAUAAAUAUAUAGGGUUUUUUCAAUGCUAUUACAUAUAAUAUGAUUGUUAAUAUAUAUCUUCUCUGAAGUGGUUUUCAUGGAAACUCUUAUCUAUUUGCAGUUAUGAACUAUAGAGUAUGUAUGUAGUAUGUAUGUUUCUAUGAAAACAUGCUAUUUUCAAAAUACAUGUACUAGGAAAGAGAAUUUGUGUGUGCGUGUGUAUGUAUUUUAGUGACCAGUAAAUAAGUAAAAAAAAUUUGAUUACUUCAGUAUUGUCAACUUUCAACAAUUGCUUUUCUUUAUCCACAUGCAUUAUAUAGAAAAACUGACUUUGUGUUGUAAUUUAUGUUGUAUAUGAAAAUACGCAAGUUAAGUUAGAAUUUGUUAUUUGCAGACCAUGCAGCAAUUUUUAUUGGUCUGUUUCAGUUGUGUUUUUUUUUUCCUACUAGUCUAUAUAGAUUCCAUUAUUUCCAUUUAAUGUGUAUUAGCCUGCAUUUGCUUAAGUCAAAUGUGCAUUUCACAAUUCCAAAUUUGGACAUUUUACCUAAGUAUUUUUUAAGAACUAUAUCAGAAAUUGUAAUGGUAUCUAUUCCAUAUGUAUCUGAUCAUGACGUACGUAUUGUAAUUUUCUAAAUUGUGACUUUUAUGCUUAAAACUUUGAAAUGUUUUGCUCUGUAAGAAUACAUGUAUUUAUUUUUUUACAUCAUUGAGACUUUAACAUGCAAUAAAAUCGAAUCUUAAGUGG